rnacentral:lncRNA from 1 species
UUAAUUGUUAUAUUUUUGUUAACAAUGAUAAUAUGAUUUAGGACAAGUAAACGUAUAAGUUGAGUAGCAGCAGCGCACCAAUCAGAGAACGAGAAGCGCAGCGUGGCUCGUGAUUGGUGCGCCGCUGGUCUGGUUUGACGGGUAUAAAAGCGCUGCUGUUCCGACGCUUGGUAUCACUUUCUACCUACGUGUGGAAGAGAACUCUUCGUUGUUUUCGUUUCUUUCCGUAAACAAUCUUUGAAAGAAGAGAUGUCUGGACGUGGAAAAGGUGGAAAAAUCAAGGGAAAGGCGAAGUCUCGUUCGAAUAGAGCAGGCUUGCAGUUCCCCGUUGGUCGUAUUCAUAGACUGCUUCGCAAAGGAAAUUACGCAGAACGCGUUGGUGCUGGUGCACCUGUUUACUUGGCGGCCGUCAUGGAAUAUUUGGCUGCUGAAGUUUUGGAAUUGGCUGGUAACGCAGCCAGAGACAACAAGAAGACUAGGAUUAUUCCAAGACACUUGCAACUUGCCAUCAGGAAUGACGAAGAGUUAAACAAACUCUUGUCUGGAGUCACUAUCGCCCAAGGUGGUGUUUUGCCAAAUAUCCAAGCGGUCCUGUUACCUAAGAAAACUGAGAAAAAGGCAUAAGCUGCUUUCUCCUUACAAAUCGGUCCUUUUCAGGACCAACAAUCGAUGUUACGAAGAACGGUCUCAAACUAAACUAUUCAGAUCAAUCAUUUUAAAAUCGUAGGUUUUGUUCGAGUAAACUAUCAUCAUAUCGCUCAAUUUACGUAAUAUUUGAGCAAUAUGGUUGAUAUGCUGACAUGGAGUGCAAUAGAGUAUAGGAGAGGUUAGGUAUAUAAUAUCGAAUACUAUAUAGAAUUAUUAGUGGCAAUAAUCUGAAAUUAAUUUAAGGGCAUUUCAUGAUUUUACGACAUACGGGUCUUGAACGCAUACAUUACCUUUCCCAUCCUAUCGUUUCUUUACAAAUGUCUACAAUAGCAUGACAAAUCGAUAGUACUCCGAUAAAAUAGCGUCUACUCGAAGGAUAAGCAAAACCGCGGAUUAAAGCUUCGAUUCGAUCUUACUAUACGGCGCUAGUGUAUCGUGAGAGCUUACAGCGAGCUAAACAGAUCUUAAGAAAAUAAUCUCUGAAAGACCUCCUUUGUGUAAGAUCAUUGAACUUUAUUCGGUGAAUAAUACGCAGUUAAAGUAUACAUGUGCACUUAUCGAAUCAAAUAUAAUACUAACAAAAUUUCGAAUAUCACAUUCUAUGUGCAUUAUUUUUCGUGCAAACUACUGUAAAGCCUGAUUGUGAUUAGUUACGAUUCUUCGAUCUAAACGAUUUGACUAGUGAGAAGAAGAAAGAAAACUUGAAAGUAUAGUAGAAAUGAAGUAAAUAGCAAAGUUUGACUUGAAUAUUUCUUUCACCUUUCUAUUCAUCACUCUUCAUCACUGAAAAAUAAAUUAAUAUUUAAUAAUUGAAUGGAACUAACUUUCAAAGAUAUUGUUAAAGAUUAAAGAUUAGAAUGAAAAAUAAGCAAGUCUCCUUGCGAGAACAUGUACAAACGAUAGAAAGGGACGAAAUUUGAAGGUUGUUCAAUCCCUCCACUGACCCGACGCAAUAUUUCCAUUCUGCUCGAGUAAAUCUCUCUCUGGUGUAGUGUCCGUGAGACAAAAAAGACGAGGUCGACGGUUGGAAGUUGUCAAUGCCAUCGAGAAUGGUGGACGAUCGGCGCGUGAACGUUCGAAGGCGGAGGGGCCUCGGCAAACCGCGUCUAUCUGAUGCAGACGAAGCGUUACCAGGUGACUCAACUAUACUCGUGUACGUCGGUUUCAAAGCGCCGAAAGAAAGGGAAAGUACCCGGGACAUCGAUGCAUGGGAGCCUGGCGUGCUCUCAGUCCGCGGAAAGCAACUGAGCGCAUACGAGAAACGAUUCUUCGCAUCAAUUCUGUCGCGCAUUCGUGGAGAUCGCGAUCGAAAUUCGUGGUGACACGUUGUGGACCGUUGGAAUAUCGUUGAUUGGAUCCUCGUGUGGCGGUCGGUGGCGAUUUUCUGUGACGCGGAUCGUACUGGAUCGAGGAAUGGAGUUCUUCAAUUAAUCGAUCGUACAUGGAGGAAUAUCGAUCGAUUAUGAUUCCAAAUACGUAUCGUCUUCGUGGAAUGGAAUUACCUCAACGAACCACAGAUGCUUCAGAAUUUCUGCGUGCCUGACAUCGCCAAUUGGGACUCACGAUGUUGGAACCAGUUCUUGGAAUAUCGACGGUAUGGUGGUUGGUGGUGUACGCCAGUAUUCUGCUGCUGCUGUCGCCUUUGGUGCUGAUCUUCAUCGUAUUGCUACCGAACUUCCCGAUAUUGUUGCUCAGAAGAAUGUGUUACAUUCCGAUCGAGUCUAUUUGACAAAUUGAAUCGUCGAUUCUUAGAGAUCGUACCUCUUUAAACCAUUCUGAGUUUCAAUGUUAAAAUUUCCUACGGUUUAACGGUUCGGUAAGUCGAUGAUUGAAUUGCAGAAGACUGUUGAAAAAUGCAUCAUUGUGCUCGAAAAUUCAAAGCAUGGAAAGAGUUACGAUAGUCUUUGAUAAUUCUAUGCAAGUACAGAGUUAGCUUUAUGAUUGUAAUUUCGAGCAUGCAAUGAAAGAUUGUAGAUUGAAAAAAAAGAUUAUAGUUCCCUAAUAGAUAUCUGCACAAAGAUACGAUACCUGGGACAAUGACCAUGGAAUAAAUAGUCGCGGUUGAGAACAAACGUAUCUAUUUUCCGUACAUUGUUCAAUCAAAUCAAAAGUAGUUGUAAAGUUAAUACUCUAUUAUGUACCUUAAUUUAAAGCGUUCUAAUUAGCUAUCUACUUCUUUAUUUAGGUAUACAGAUUAUUAGGACCAUUAUUCGUAUCGUAUGAUUUAUCAGUCCCUUUUUAUACGACGAUUACGAUGUACCUUGGAAUUGUCAAGUAUACGCACAAUUGAUUAGAAAUGAAUUAUAAAGCACUCUCUAUCGAAACACCGUUAUUUCUGUUUAUUUGAAUCAACAUUUAAACACGAUUCGAUUCUUCGCUCGGUUCUUCUCCUGUCAUGAUUCUUUCGCUGCCGUUGCCAAGAUUUCGCCAUAGCUGUCGCGUGUAGAACGAGUAUAACCGACAUGUAAAACUGAUAUAACGGGAACGACGUUUCGCAAAAUGCGAACAACACGAAAAUUUCGAGAGAUCCACGCGUUUUCGAAUCCGGUAACAGUAGCGUCGUUGAUUCUUACGUCAUUGAGCUGGUUUAUACGUUCGUCUCGUGUGCACAGCCAGCAUUUUUAUACGUAAACAUCUGGCCUACGUGAGAAUCGAGGAGCUCCAGAGGCACGUGCUGACCAUUCUUAGUCGAAAUUAUCAUUUUGAAACAUUCGAGAAAGCUGGACUAAUAAUUUUGUUAUCUUUUUACCACAUCUUUGCCUUUCUCUAUUCGAUUUAAGACAUUUUGGCAAACGCGAAAGGAAAGGUUGUUCGGACAGUUCAUAGCGUUUUUCACAACCGAUAUGUCGUGCGACAGAUUCUAAUAGAAUUGGAAGAAGAUUAUUUUAUCAUGAAUUUUACUAAAUAAUAAAUUUCGCUAUGAACUUUCUCAAUAA